UUGGGCAGGAGGGCAGCGCUGCCUAAGCCUGGCUCUUGCCAGGCCCUGUGUUCAUCAGACUCCCUCGAGGGCCCUGUCACCAUGGCACGCUGGUUUCUGAGUCUGCCUCGCUCUCUGUCCAGGCUCUCCCCUCACAGGCCCACGCACGCUCUGGCGGCCCAGCGUGAGGCACUGAGGGGAAAACGCGGAGGGCUCCGGCUUUGGAGAAGCGAGUGGGCGCCAGCGAAUGGCGACGGUGCUGGAGGUGAAGAGUCGCCGGCCAUACCCGGCGAGAGCGGCUGCGCGGGCGGGGCAGGCAGGGGUGAAAAGUUCUGUAUACUUCUGAUCUACAAAUAAAUAGCAUUUUCCUGGAGUAUGCAUUUGAAAUCCUAAAUUGAAACCAGUCUUGUAAAUGAGUCUCAGGAAUCAUCAACAUUUAAAGCUUUGCCUUGGGACAUGCUGUCUGUGAGUUUUUAAACACUGAGUCAAUUACCUCAAAAGCCCAUAGAAGUUACCACCUCUCCUUUGAAAAUAUUUAGGUAUGUUUCACCAAGGACUCUCGUCUUACCUUUGUUCUACAAAUUGAACGGAUGGUGUAAUAUUCCAACAAGCAGUGAAGGGGUUCCAGCCCCGAGGGUUUUCUUCAUAGCCAGUUUUGAUGCUCUUCACUUUUCUGUGCACUUGUACUGGUGGGAGUGAGAGUGACUUUGCAGUUUUGGGAAUUGCACAGAAGAGAUAUCAGAGACUAUGCUUAGGGUUAUUCUGUCCAUUGACUUCAAACCCUUAUGAAGUACAUUAGUAAAUAUAAUUUAGCAAAACUUUAAAUAAUAGCUGUCAUAUUUCAAAGUUAUAAAGUUAUUUAACUAAUAAAGCUUAUAAGGGUUUUUUUUCCUUACAAAUAUACAGAAAAUGUACUAUGUGAAGAUAAAACAACCCUUCUAAUAAUCCUGUAUAAACUAAGAGGUUACAGUGAUGGCAUCUACAGUUUGUUUUCAAAAUGGAAAUGAUAAUGAAAAUAUCACAGUUUAAAGUUGUAAGAAUAAUUAAUAACUUUUGAGGAUCUAGGCAAAAAUAAAAGUGCAGAGAAUUUUCUAAUACA